AUUGAACGCUGGCGGCAGGCCUAACACAUGCAAGUCGAGCGGAAACGAGUUAUCUGAACCUUCGGGGAACGAUAACGGCGUCGAGCGGCGGACGGGUGAGUAAUGCCUAGGAAAUUGCCUUGAUGUGGGGGAUAACCAUUGGAAACGAUGGCUAAUACCGCAUAAUGCCUACGGGCCAAAGAGGGGGACCUUCGGGCCUCUCGCGUCAAGAUAUGCCUAGGUGGGAUUAGCUAGUUGGUGAGGUAAUGGCUCACCAAGGCGACGAUCCCUAGCUGGUCUGAGAGGAUGAUCAGCCACACUGGAACUGAGACACGGUCCAGACUCCUACGGGAGGCAGCAGUGGGGAAUAUUGCACAAUGGGCGCAAGCCUGAUGCAGCCAUGCCGCGUGUAUGAAGAAGGCCUUCGGGUUGUAAAGUACUUUCAGCAGUGAGGAAGGGGGUGUCGUUAAUAGCGGCAUCUCUUGACGUUAGCUGCAGAAGAAGCACCGGCUAACUCCGUGCCAGCAGCCGCGGUAAU
rnacentral:rRNA from 1 species